AGCUGGGGGGCCAGGAGCAGCGCGGCGCCCAGGUUGACGUGGGCCGGGAUGGCGAGGGGCACGGCGAGCAGCGGCAGGCCGGCGUGGCGCCCGUAGGCCCAGUACAGGAGACUCUAUACCUUCUGGCACGGCCGAGGAAACUGAGGCUCAGAGAUCUGCGACCACAGCUCCCAGGCACCACGGCUGGGCAUAUCCAGCCCGGGCCAGGCUGAGCCCAGACCCUCUCGCUGUUUGGGGCUGGCCUGGUGCUCAGAAAACCCUCUGCAGGAACUCUCCAUCCUGGGCCUGCCCUGCUCCUGGGGGACCCGGCCACAGGGCUCCCCGGGCUCCUGCAGCGUUGGCGUGAGCAGGACGGGGGGCCCUGGCUUUCAGCACCCUGACUCACCACCGACAGCGGGAAGCAGACGAGCACCAUGACGGCGUGGUGGAGCACCAUGAGGAACUCCUUGUGCAGGUACAGCCAAGCAUUAAGGAGAAAACACUGAGCAAAAGGAGCCAAGAACAGAGAAAAGUUCCUUGUACUUUGAGAGUAAACAAAAAUGAAAAGUGC